rnacentral:lncRNA from 1 species
GAACCCGACCCGAAUCCGCAGGUCCUAAAAUUCAGGUCGGGUCGGGUCUACGCGAGUCUGGUCGAAUCGGGUCACGGGUCGGGUCAUGAGGCUCCAUGGGUCUGAGUUUGAUUUUGAUGAUUUAUCAGAAAAGAGCUACAUAAUAAGAGAAAAGCAAUCUAGUUCUCUCAAGUAAGUGGAUGCCUCUAAAAUUUCUUGUUGUACGAAACUAACAUCAAGAGUUUUAUUAAUUGAACCGGUCUAUCUAUGAUCCAAGCCAAGCUAUGGAACUGCAACUAAUGCACGACACUUGUUUGCACAGGCUAACAUAGAAUUAUGACUCUUAAUGCAAACUGAGCAAUAGCCAAUAGCUCAGUAGUACCAGUCUCUCGCUUAAAUGCAAAAAAUCAUGGGUUAGAACCACUUGAUCGAUGUAAUCCUCAAAAAGUGUAACUCUUGAUAGUCCAGGCCAAAGACAUUAUAGAGCACCUUGGAGCAAUUACAUUUUAUGGGUAGCCCAUCUCUGGACACCUAGUUUAAACUUGUCAAAAGGUGGACCGGACACUGGAGUCAUGAUAACCAAAAUGCUAGAUUCACAAACUUACGUCAAUAAAAUCAUGGCUAAAGAGAGAUGCUAGGGGUUGCUAUCCUGCUACCCAUAUGUUUUUCAUACCACAUAACACUAUAGAGUGAGUGUGAUUCAUGGGAAUUGGUCAAAUUUAUGAGUCAACGACAAGUCAAUGCCAAGUCAGAACAAGAAAAUAAGUGAGUAAAUAAACAAUGUUUGUAUCAUUUUAGCAAUACCAAAUGUUCCUUUAUAUCAUGCUGGUCCUUGUUAUAGGCCAUGUGUCUAGGCAUCCUAGAACAAAAU